GGCGCCGUACCCAAGUGGCUAAGGGAGAGGCCUGCAAAGCCUUUAUGCGGCGGUUCGAAUCCGCCCGGCGCCU
rnacentral:tRNA from 1 species